rnacentral:rRNA from 1 species
UCGAGAAUUUUUCUCAAUGGGGGAAACCCUGAAGGAGCGACGCCGCGUGGAGGAUGAAGGUCUUCGGAUUGUAAACUCCUGUCAUUGGGGAACAAAGCCGCCGGUUAACUGCCGGUUGGACUGAUAGUACCCGAAGAGGAAGAGACGGCUAACUCUGUGCCAGCAGCCGCGGUAAUACAGAGGUCUCAAGCGUUGUUCGGAUUCAUUGGGCGUAAAGGGUGCGUAGGCGGCGGGGCAAGUCAGGUGUGAAAUCCCGGAGCUCAACUCCGGAACUGCAUUUGAUACUGCCUCGCUAGAGUACUGGAGAGGAGACUGGAAUUUACGGUGUAGCAGUGAAAUGCGUAGAGAUCGUAAGGAAGACCAGUGGCGAAGGCGAGUCUCUGGACAGUUACUGACGCUGAGGCACGAAGGCCAGGGGAGCAAACGG